GCGGGUGUAGCUCAGUUGGUAGAGUUGCAGCUUCCCAAGCUGAAGGUCGCCGGUUCGAGUCCGGUCACCCGCU
rfam:Denitrovibrio acetiphilus DSM 12809, complete genome.